CCUACGAGUGGCUGCAGUGAGGAAUAUUGGUCAAUGGGCGGGAGCCUGAACCAGCCAAGUCGCGUGAGGGAAGACGGUCCUAUGGAUUGUAAACCUCUUUAGGCGGGGAGCAAUGCCGGGCACGUGUGCCCGGAGGGAGAGUACCCGCAGAAUAAGCAUCGGCUAACUCCGUGCCAGCAGCCGCGGUAAUACGGAGGAGGCGAGCGUUAGCCGGAGUUAUUGGGUUUAAAGGGUGCGUAGGCGGAUUUUUAAGUCAGCGGUAAAAUGUCCGGGCUCAACCCGGGCCGGCCGUUGAAACUGGGGAUCUUGAGUGGGCGAGAAGUAUGCGGAAGGCGUGGUGUAGCGGUGAAAUGCAUAGAUAGCACGCAGAACUCCGAUUGCGAAGGCAGCAUACCGGCGCCCGACUGACGCUGAGGCACGAAAGCGUGGGGAUCGAACAGGAUUAGAUACCCGGGUAGUC
rnacentral:rRNA from 1 species